CCCUACGGGGGGCAGCAGUAGGGAAUCUUCCACAAUGGGCGAAAGCCUGAUGGAGCAACGCCGCGUGGGUGAAGAAGGUCUUCGGAUCGUAAAACCCUGUUGUUAGAGAAGAAAGUGCGUGAGAGUAACUGUUCACGUUUCGACGGUAUCUAACCAGAAAGCCACGGCUAACUACGUGCCAGCAGCCGCGGUAAUACGUAGGUGGCAAGCGUUAUCCGGAUUUAUUGGGCGUAAAGGGAACGCAGGCGGUCUUUUAGGUCUGAUGUGAAAGCCUUCGGCUUAACCGGAGUAGUGCAUUGAAACUG
rnacentral:rRNA from 1 species